CAGGGAUUGCAGCCGAGCACACGGAGGGACACGCUGAAGUCGCGCGUGGCGGUGUGAAAUAGCUAGUACUUAGAAAAAUCCUGGGAGACAAGCUGUACGAGACAAGGGAGCGCCUUGGCCGGUUCGAGUUUAAGCGUGAAGUCAUGCUAGAACAACUACUGAGCUGUAAAUUAAAGGGAAGAUAAUUUCUGCUCGUGGAGGAAAAGAAACGCGAAUAACCUCAAUGGAAGACUCUCAGGAUCUAAGUGAACAGUCAGUAAAGAAAGCGUGUACAGAGUCAGAUGGUUCAGAGACGCAGAAUCCCAGGUCUAUGGAAAUGCAGGAUCUAGCCAGUCCUCAUAAUCUUGUUGGAAGUAGUGAUGCACCAGGUAGUUCCAAACUGGAUAAGUCUAGUCUUAGUAGCACAUCAGUUACAACAAAUGGAACAGGAGGAGACAACAUGACUGUGUUAAAUACUGCAGACUGGUUGCUGAGUUGUAGUACUCCCUCCUCUGCAACAAUGUCUCUUCUUGCAGUCAAAACAGAACCCAUGAACAACAGUGAAACAACAACAACAACUGGAGAUGGAUCGCUUGACACUUUUACUGGGUCAGUAAUAACAAGUAGUGGCUACAGUCCAAGAUCAGCGCACCAGUACUCUCCGCAAAUAUAUCCGUCCAAGCCCUAUCCACACAUUCUUUCUACACCAGCAGCUCAAACAAUGUCUGCCUAUGCCGGACAAACCCAGUAUUCAGGAAUGCAGCAACCAGCGGUCUAUACAGCCUACUCACAGACAGGACAGCCCUACAGCUUACCCACUUACGAUUUGGGUGUAAUGUUGCCAGGCAUCAAGACAGAAAGUGGGCUCUCGCAGACCCAAUCACCACUGCAGAGCGGGUGCCUCAGUUACAGCCCGGGGUUUUCGACCCCACAGCCAGGCCAAACACCCUACUCUUAUCAGAUGCCAGGUUCUAGUUUUACACCGUCGUCCACAAUUUACUCAAACAAUUCUGUUUCGAAUUCCACAAACUUCAGUAGUUCACAACAGGAUUAUCCAUCAUACACAGCUUUUGGCCAAAAUCAAUAUGCACAGUAUUACUCAGCAUCAACAUAUGGUACAUAUAUGACCUCAAACAACACGGCUGAUGGCACUUCAUCAUCAUCAUCAACCUACCAGUUACAGGACUCUCUCCCUGGCUUGACUAGUCAACCAGGUACAGAUCUACAUUCAGGGGAGUUUGACACAGUGCAGAGCCCCUCCACGCCAAUUAAAGAUCUUGAUGAGAGAACAUGUAGGAGUUCUGGGUCGAAGUCUAGGGGUAGAGGACGGAAGAAUAAUCCAUCACCCCCUCCGGACAGUGACUUGGAGCGUGUAUUUGUUUGGGAUUUGGAUGAAACAAUCAUAGUUUUUCAUUCACUGCUUACAGGAUCCUAUGCACAAAAGUAUGGCAAGGAUCCACCAAUGGCAGUGACGCUUGGACUGAGAAUGGAAGAAAUGAUUUUUAAUCUUGCUGACACACAUUUAUUUUUUAAUGAUUUAGAGGAGUGUGAUCAAGUUCAUAUAGAUGAUGUUUCUUCUGAUGAUAACGGACAAGACCUAAGUACCUACAGUUUUGCAACUGAUGGCUUCCAUGCAGCUGCAAGUAGUGCAAACCUUUGUCUGCCAACAGGUGUAAGAGGAGGGGUUGACUGGAUGAGGAAGCUGGCUUUCCGUUACAGAAGAGUAAAAGAGUUGUAUAAUACUUACAAGAACAACAUAGGAGGACUCCUGGGUCCCGCUAAAAGAGAUGCAUGGUUGCAAUUAAGAGCAGAGAUUGAAGCUUUGACAGACUCCUGGCUAACAAAUGCACUUAAAUCAUUAUCAAUUAUCAGCACAAGGAGUAAUUGUGUAAACGUAUUGGUAACAACGACCCAGCUUAUCCCAGCACUUGCAAAAGUUCUACUAUACAGUUUAGGAGGAGCUUUUCCUAUUGAAAAUAUUUACAGUGCAACCAAAAUAGGCAAAGAGAGCUGUUUUGAGCGUAUAGUGUCCAGAUUUGGCACUAACAUAACUUAUGUUGUGAUUGGAGAUGGCCGAGAUGAGGAACAUGCAGCUAAUCAGGUAACUUCACUCUGAACUCUUAUCUCAUUUAUCUUCCAGGAAAAGAAAGUUGCUUUGAACGAAUAAUGCAAAGGUUUGGCAGAAAAGUAGUAUAUGUUGUAAUUGGGGAUGGUGUAGAAGAAGAACAGGCAGCAAAAAAGUGUCUCUUACAGGUACUGACUGUGACCUUGGAUUCUUAUGUCCAUGCUGCCCUUGUGGUUCAUGCCUGGAGCAACCCUGAGCCUGUGCAUGUGGUCUGGUGCAGACUGGCUCACCUGCAGACUGUUUGCAGGGUACAGCCUUAGAGAGAAUCUACCCCUGCUCUCCACUGAGGCUUCCUCACCAAGAACAUUAGGUGCCUUGCUUCAGAUGCAGCCUGAGUGACAACUAACACCUUUGUUGCAGUGUCCUUGGGACAAAAUACAGAACAAACGCAAAUUUGAUGGUCUAGACACACAGUGUAUGCAUAUAAAUUCCCUUGCCAAUUCACUUAUUAAUAUUAUGCUAGUAUUCUUAUGGACAUGGGUUGUUAGGAGACAGACUGGGCUACUGAGGGGCAAGCAGCCUUUCCAGUUGAAGAUUGUCCUCGUGAAAUUUUAUAAAUGUCUUUGGGAGCUGUACUUCAUGUCUUAGUGAGGUACUGACCUUCGUGUGAAGAAAGCAGUCCCUCCACAGUCUGCUGUGGAAGGCCAAGGUGGGAUUGCAGGACUGUCAGCACACUUAGACGUGACAUUAUGAUCUUGGAACAACAUAACAAGUAGCAGAGCC